rnacentral:rRNA from 1 species
ACGGGGGGACUAGCGUUGUUCGGAAUUACUGGGCGUAAAGCGCACGUAGGCGGAUUUGUAAGUCAGGGGUGAAAUCCCGAGGCUCAACCUCGGAACUGCCUUUGAUACUGCGAAUCUCGAGUCCGGAAGAGGUGAGUGGAAUUCCUAGUGUAGAGGUGAAAUUCGUAGAUAUUAGGAAGAACACCGGUGGCGAAGGCGGCUCACUGGUCCGGUACUGACGCUGAGGUGCGAAAGCGUGGGGAGCAAACAG